UGACCCUAUUGUCCUAAGCUCUUCAAACCAUUUCCUGAGUCAGACUUCAGUGUCUGGGUCAUCUGAUAAAAACCAAGUUACUGCAACUUGGACCAAAGACUUGGCCUAGGCCUGCUGAAUAAUCCACUUGCUUGGAAUCCCAUGAGGGAAUCUGUGGCAAGAAGCUUGCAAGUUCAAGGUCAAAGAUUGAGUUCUGGAUAAAGUGGGCUUCUAAGAAAAUUGCACCCCUUCCUCAGGAAGUUCCCACUCUUGAAGGAGGUGCCGUGGAGUAGAUACACGGGGAAGGAGAAGUCUUAGCAUACCUGCUAAGAUUGGAUCUUGCUGCUCCGAUCAGAGCAUCAAGCCAAACACCUAAAAGUUCGACUCAAACCCGGACGUGUAAACAGUGGUCUACCCGGAAUUAGGAUGAAUCAAGAAAACAUCGCCACUGCGUUCUGUGUGUCCCGGAGCUGUGUGUCCCUCUCAGGGUUGCCUCCUCCUUACAUUGAUGUCUUAAGGCCUCUGCAUUGCCUCACAGGGGAGCCGUGAACAUUUAAAUGAAGUUAAAUGUUAAGGCCUUUGCCAGUUGAACUAGGGCAUUUUUUUUGCAGCUGUCGUGAACUGGCACUGAGCUGGUUGUUCAAACAGCGAAGCGCGCAGUCGCCAAAUAGCUACUUCUCUACCUCGUGGCUAUUUGUGUCUCAGAUAGAUGCCUCUCCUUUGCCUUGGCCUCCCGGGAUCCUUUCCCAGAGCCUUUAGCAUGCAAAGCAUGCAUGCCUAGUAUAAGAAGGACCCCUCCCGUCGGUCGCAGUGCUGGUAUCCAUUCUGACCAGCUAAUACCCUUUUACAUCCACCCUGUAGUGAGUCAUUCCUAAACCAAUCCUGUGACCGGGAAAUCCCUUCCUAUUGUGACAAGUGGAAAGAAGCUUUCUUGGGUAGUGUACCAGGUGUGGCCAACUGUGGUCCAUGGGCCGCGUACAUCCCAGGACAUUUAAGAACGCGACCCAACACACUGUAGGUGAUCUUCUUUCACACUGUCGAAAGUUGGCUACCUCAGCCUGCUACACUUGAUUGGCAGUGUUCCUCAAGUUUGAAUAUGCUCCAGAAUCAUGUGAAAGGGUCCUCAGAACACAGAGGGCUGAGCCCCACUCCCGGGGCUUCUGGUUUAGGGAUCAGCCCUGAGCUUCUGAGUUACUGCCAAGUUACCAGUUGACAUUGAUGUUGUGGGUCUAAAGACCACACCUAGAACCACGUUCUAGAUCCUUGCUAUCCUUCAGAAGACAGAGAGCGUCAUCGUUCAGUUUGACUUUGUGGUAGGUAAUAAGGGUGAAGGGCUAUCAAAACUGUAGGCAGAGCCACAGAUUUGGAUAAACAAAAUUGUUUCAGGGCUCAGCUGGGUUAAUUUACGUUAUUUCUCUGGUCACUGAUUAAAUACCUCCCUAACGGAACUCAAGGGGAGAAAGGCUUAUUUGGGCUCAUAACUUCAAGGGCUUGAGUCUUACAUAACUUUGAGGGAGGCCUGGUAGUGGGUAUUCCUAUGUCAUCCGGGGAGUACAGCUGCUGGCUUACUUUUCGGUGUACCAGAAAGCAAAGAUGGGGCAGGAGGAAGGGUCAGGGUAUAAAGUGUAAACCCAUCUGCAGUGACCCAUUUCCUCCAGUGAGGCUCCUCCUACAACUAAUGGUUCCAUAAUCUCUCCACAUAGCAUGACUACCAGGGGCGUGAAGUAUUCAAAUACAGGGGUUUGUGGGAAAUAAUUCACGUCCCAACUAUCACAAUUCUCUAUAGCUGCCUUUAUGUUACAAAUGGUGGAGCUGGGUAAAUGGGACAGACGUGUUGCAGUUUGCAAGACCUAAAAGACCUAUUUACUAGAUUUUGUUUUUGUUUUUGUUGUGUUGUUGUUGUUGUUGCUGUUUUGUUUGUUUUAAGGUGCCUUCGCAGCAACUCUGGCGACCUGAGUUUGAUCCUUGGAACACACAUGGUGGAAAGAGAUGAACCCUUGCCAGUUGUACUGUGGCCUCUGCUUACACGUUAAGGCAUGCUCACUACCCUAACCCCAGACUCCACCCCAUCUCUCAUGCCCC
rnacentral:sRNA from 1 species